rnacentral:rRNA from 1 species
UAGGGAAUCUUCCACAAUGGACGCAAGUCUGAUGGAGCAACGCCGCGUGAGUGAAGAAGGUUUUCGGACCGUAAAGCUCUGUUGUUGGUGAAGAAGGAUAGAGGUAGUAACUGGCCUUUAUUUGACGGUAAUCAACCAGAAAGUCACGGCUAACUACGUGCCAGCAGCCGCGGUAAUACGUAGGUGGCAAGCGUUGUCCGGAUUUAUUGGGCGUAAAGCGAGCGCAGGCGGAAGAAUAAGUCUGAUGUGAAAGCCCUCGGCUUAACCGAGGAAUUGCAUCGGAAACUGUUUUCUUGAGUGCAGAAGAGGAGAGUAGAACUCCAUGUGUAGCGGUGGAAUGCGUAGAUAUAUGGAAGAAUACCAGUGGCGAAGGCGGUCUCUG